rnacentral:rRNA from 1 species
UACGUAGGGACCAAGCGGUGUCCGGAAUCAUUGGGCGUAAAGAGCGUGUAGGCGGCUUGUUAAGUCUUGCGUGAAAUCUCGGGGCUCAACCCCGAGCGGUCGUGAGAAACUGGCAGGCUAGAGUGCGGGAGAGGAGAGUGGAAUUCCUGGUGUAGCGGUGAAAUGCGCAGAUAUCAGGAAGAACACCCGUGGCGAAGGCGGCUCUCUGGAACGCAACUGACGCUGAGACGCGAAAGCGUGGGGAGCAAACAGG